UACGGAGGGUGCAAGCAUUGAUCGGAAUUACUGGGCGUAAAGGGCGCGCAGGCGGAUCGGAAAGUCAGAUGUGAAAUUCCGGGGCUCAACCCCGGAGCUGCAUUUGAAACUUCCGAUCUAGAGUUCAGUUAGGGAAAACGGAAUUCCACGUGUAGCGGUGAAAUGCGUAGAUAUGUGGAAGAACACCGGUGGUGAAGACGGUUUUCUGGGCUGAUACUGACGCUGAGGCGCGAAAGCAAGGGGAGCAAACAGG
rnacentral:rRNA from 1 species